UUUUUUUUUUGGAAAAAAAUUGGUUUUUCUUUUGUUGUUGACAAUUUGAUCGAUCAAGUAGUUAAUUAACUUAGUCAAGGUACUUGUUAAUGGAUGUGCAUGCUUCAUACCAGCUUGAACAUUGAAAAAGUUGCAGAAACAAUUUUGACUCUAGAUCUCCAUAAUUAAGUUACAUAUCUUUAGCUCCUUAUAGAUAUAAGCUGGAUUCUUGAAACUUAAAGGAUAACAUAGAAAAGAGGGUACAGAUUGGCUUGCAUUGACAAGUCUUGCAGGUUCU
rnacentral:lncRNA from 1 species